GCUGGCAGUCUGUUAUUGUCACAUCUUUGCCCACAGCGGUUCUAGUGAGCAUCGGCUUGCUGUUCAUUUAGUUUCUCAGUCAUGGACAAAACUGUGCUGCUCCUGCUGUACCUGCAGGUUGUUCUGCUCAUCACUGCCUUUCCUUCGGACGCAGCUGGUCAAGUUGUAGUGAAAGGUCCAGAUCAGGUAAAAAGAUCCGCAACAGCAAUCAAACAGGUGGCAAACAGGACGGUCAACCCAUCAAAGAAAAAAAUACAGGCGAGAAAUUGUUCCUGGAGACCUGGAGCGUGCGGCCCAUUCUUUCGUAUUAAAGAAAACCAGGGGUGAUUCUAGGAUCAGAGCUUUGGGGGUGCUGAGCACCCAGAGAGCUGCCCAUCCAAUCAAGGGCCAGUUUACCCAUCAUACAUUGCUGCAACCAGAAACUCCUUCCUGCAUUUUUCCAUUGACCUGGGUGCUUCAAUAAUCGACGCAUAUAAACUAUCACAACAACAGAUUCUCUGCAAACAUGUUGCAACAUUGCAGUUGGUGCAGCAGUCACCUCGCAUACAUGACCAAAAUAGACAGAUGCUAAAUUUGAGCCAGCUCACUAGAUUUCCCUGAGAAGUCAGAAAUUAAACACAAAUAACAUUUAACCACUAAAACUAAUUUCGGAAGUAAAUAUAAGGCGGAGUAUUAGGGCCACAUUAGGAAAAUAAAAUAUUUUGAUCAAUUUGAGAAUAAAGUCAAAAUUUCAAGAUUAAAUUUGAAAAUCUAUUUUGAGCAAAGCAUCGAAAUGUUGUUGUUUCAAGACAAACUGCCACGUUUCUUAUACCCUCUACAAAAUGCCUUGUGUAGAUGAAUUAGCCAUUUCAAAUUGUACAAAUCCACUCUUCCAAGUUUGUGUUUUUCCGUCUGACCAGAUGCAGCUUUCUGCACCAUCAUUUCAACGUCCUUUUACUUAUCACCAUAAUAUGUUUGUGUGCUAAAAGAGAAAUCAUUUCCUUCCUUGUUACUUAAGCCAAUUCUGAAGUGCAAUUUCACUCAGAGGGUACAGCAACCAUGGCUGAUUGUCUUGAAACAAAAUAGAAUUACAAUGUUAUUCUCAAAAUGAUCAUUAAUAUUAUUUUUUUAUCUUUAUGUGGUCCUAAUACUACUUUGUAUAAAUAACCUUGGCAUCCUAUUUUUUUUAAAAAUCCUAAAGCACUUAACUGUUUUCAGUUUUUUUUAGUAAAACUAUGAAUUUGAAAAAUCGUAGAUAACAACAAUAAUUAUUUUUAUGUUAUAAAAAUGUAUAAACAUUGCAUGUUGGAGGAUUAACCACAGGAACAUAAAAAGUGUUUUUGCUAAUUACCAGUACUGUGUAUUUAGGCCAGCUGUGGUGUAAACCUUCCACUGGAUAGUAAUAAUAAUUUUGUUAAGUACUGCAUGUGCUGAGUAUAAACUGGACUAAUAAAAUAUUUAAUGCACUUCACAUUUGUGUGAAUUAGACUGAUAUUCUGAAAAGAAGCUGUGUAAUAAAUUGUAAGAUUAUCAGAUCAACUCAGAGCAAAGAGGCGGGAAAGGAAAUCUCCACCAAGGUCUAAAAAUUCCUCGAAUUAAAUUGUGCUGAAGAAAAGCAGCCUGAGAAAAUUGGUGUAAAAGACCUUAAAGGUAUACUGGUUACACAGUGCCUUACUUACUUAUAUGUUCUUCAUUUUGUUUUCAUAGCCAUACUUUAUAUUUUCAUCAAUGGUAGAAAUAGUUCAUAAUCUGAAACACAACAUAUCUGUCAAACAUGGUGGAGGCAAUGGUAUGACAUUGGAACUGGUGGAACUGGGUCAUUAGUGUUUAUUGAUGAUGUGACUGUGGAUAGAAGAAGCAGUAUGAACUCUGAAGUGUACAGGGCUGAUCUAUCUACUCAGAUUCAGCCAAACGCUGCAACUGCAAAAGCAAAAAAAUGAGACAUAGUUCCCAUUCCCAAUGGCCAAGUGAGUCACCUAAUAUCAGUCCAACAGAGGAGGCUUUUCAAUUAAUAAAUAAAAUACAAAACUGGAUGCAGAGAAACUCACAAACAAACAGCAUCUAAAGGUAACCACAGUAAAGGCCCAGCAGAGCAUCUCAGGGAAGGAAACAACAUUUUGUGAUGAGUUUUAGGCAUCAAGCAGUCAUUCAUUUCAAAGGAUUAAAAUAACCUUCAUGUUUAAAUUAGGUUGGUUUGUGUAAUUAAUGUUGCGACUCUGAAAAUGGCAAAGUAUAAAAAUGACUGUAAUUCUUGUAAUUUUUGGAGGACUGCACACAAGUGCGUCUCCGUGGUCUCUGCACAAUUUUAAUUUCCACAAUCCCUCUUUCUGUCUAGACCAAGAUCUACUCAAAUGGAAACCAAAAAUAAAAGAAUAUCUGCAAUAA